GCAUGGCCGAAUUCUGUGUUACUUUGCACGUAGUAAAUACAGUCAGACACCAUGCUAAAUUACUGUUUUUCACAAAC
rnacentral:snoRNA from 1 species